AUUCAGCUGGCGAGUCCUAAAUAGGACGAAACGCGCAUCAAACAGGAU
rnacentral:hammerhead_ribozyme from 1 species